UCUUUGACACAUUCCCAGUUUCCAUUCUCAAUUUUACAUGGAAAAAAACCUUCAGGAAGUUAAAAGUAAAUGUCAAACUUUAAAAACAUCACAUUGUAAGUAUUUAUUUAUUGCUUUUAAUUUCUUUAACAUCACAAAUUUGUAUACAUGAAUACUGUGAUCAAAUAUAUAUGUAAAUAUUCAACAUAAAAUAUCUAUUUCAUAACAACCUCUUUAACAAUAUGUGACAAUAAAUCUAAUAAAAUUUCACAGCUUAUUGGGAUGUGUAUGUUCACACACUUCAAAUACAUUGGGAUGUGUAUGUUCACACAUAUUUCAUUUGCUUUGAUUAAUACUUUAAAUUCGUUGGAAAGCAACAACUGUGUUACACUGUUUAGUUAUCAAUUUACAUGAAAAUUUAUCUGGUUACGACUACAAGUAAUUAGAUGAAAUAUGAGAUAAAAUUAAGCACAUGUUAGUAUGUUAAAUAUACCUUAAACCUUAGUUUUGUCGAUAUUUUGAUUAUUUGUAAUAAAAUUAUAACUAGCUUAAUGCUUUAAAAAAUGUUUUACAAUAAUGCAAAAAAUACACAUGGUAAAUAAACUACAAGUUAUGUUUUUUGAUUUUGACAAAUAUUAGAAUUCAGCAAUUAUUAACAUCACAUUACUCAAUGUUGCUUGUUGCUACAAAUUAAAAUAGCUACUUUUUUUGCAUUAAAUUACAAAUGUAUUUAAAAAAAAAAUUGUAAAAGAGAAAGGCCAAAAGAUACCAAAGGGAUAUUCAGACUCAUUGAAUUUGAAACAAAUUAACCUGCAUUAUACAAAUUAAACAAUUCACAACCAUCAAUGUGGAUAAAAAAACACUUUUAUUAACCAUAUUGUAUAUAUAGGGCCAGUGUUCUACGCUGGCCAAUUUACACUCCAGUUAGGCAGAACCUGACCUAAUAUUUUUUAACCCUGAACAUACCACAAAUGACCUUCACAGUGUUUAAUUAUAAAAUUCAAUUGACCCUGCUGACUUUAAUUUAUCAUUCUGGUUAUAUGAAUUGCCUAUUUGCCAGUUUAGGUUCAACAUAUUUUAUUUGUAAAAUUAGCAAAAAGCAUUAGACAUAAGUUAUAACAACAUCAUAGAACUGUUAUAUACUUUGUAAAAUUUGUCUUUCAUUACCUUUAAAUUUUUUAUCAUGGUAUUCCCAGAUAUCCAGUUUCAUCCACUUUUAGCCCCAUUAACAGGACUACCUUUCAAAUUUCUUAUAUCAAAAACUAACAUUGUUUGUCAGAUAAAUUAAGUAGAAAUAAAAACUUGCUAAAUUGUCCUAAUAAGAUAUAUAAAUAAUGUUCAUGUAUGUACAAAAAUAUUUUUGAAUUCUUAUCUACUAGUUAUAACUUUAAUUCAGAAAAAAAUGACAACAUACCAUCAGUAUUUUAUACUGUGUUCACAAUAAUAAAAUUAAAAUAACACUAUCUUUGUUAUUGAUGUUUGGAUGUAAAAUAAUACAAGUUUGAUUAUCAAAAAUACCAUUGUCUAUAAAUAAUGCUGAUAAGGUUAUUUUCAAGUGCCUUUCUGUUUAAAGAAAAGGAUAUAUUGGCUGAAACCCUAAUUCAUCCAAUUCUUAUUAUUUCAGAUUAUUUAAAUACAAUUUGUUUUCUAAUGUUUUGGAACCAAUACUGCAAUAAUUCUUAAUUUGAAGCUGAAAAUACAGAAUAGUAUCCUUGCAUGGACAGAAAAUCAACUUUCUUUUACUUACAAAUUUUACACAGAAAAGUAACCUUUUGUCAAGUAGGUUCGUUCAAAAAGACCUUUCAACUGUAACAAGAAUGUGAUCAAAUUCUUUUCGUCUUUUACACAGAGCAGCUUUUAAAAUACAAGAUGUUAUAAACCAAGACAGAUGGAUAUAGCUAAAAAUUUUCAAGAAGAAAACAAUUUACUACACAAUUUUUUGGAUGGAAUCAUAAUGAAACAAAAACAUGCAUAAAACAAUCUUAUAUACUUUCCUAGUGCAAAUAAUGGUUAUACACAGUGAGUUUCUCUUAAAUUUAAUUAGUGUACAUAUGUGUUGUACCACAAUCUAUAUAUGACUGCUUACCUUAACAAAACAAACAUAUGCACCACAAAUCAUUAAAUAAAACAUGAUGGUAUCUAUAACAUAACAAGUGACAAAAAGCUCUGUAGACAGCAUUAAAUAAAUCUGAUUAGUUUAUGUCAAAAAAUAAUGUUAACAUUUAUAUGUAAAAGUUUUCGUAAACAAAUACUUUUAAAUUUACGAUUGAUUUGAAGAUUUAGGUAGUCUAGAUCUUUUAUUUUGAUUAUUUCUGAAUAAGGUUGCCUUAUUUGAGUUUUAUUUAGUUUUUAUGCCUUUUAAGAAUCUUAAGGAUUUGGUGUACAAGUAAUUUAUUUUUUUGUAUGACAAAAUCAAUAUAACGCUAUGCCAUUUGUUGAAUAUCCAUUCUUAAGAAUGUUUAUUUAUAUACUGUGGAUUCAUUAUUAUUUGUUGUAUACCAACUUUCGUGGAUUUCGUGGGUAGAGGUAAACCACAAAAUUAAAUGUUCAACAAAUGACAUAUUUUCGCAAACCUCUGCAAAACCACUUAUAAAAUAUCCAAGAACAUACAAGUUUUCCUUUAUCCAAGAAAAAUUGGUACCAAUGAAAAUAAAUGAAUCCACAGUAUGUAGGAUUAACAGUAACAAACCAGUGUGAGCAAAGUUAUAAUACUAUCUAUCUGAGUAUAUGAAUAUGUGUAUAUAAUAGAAAUAUGAAUAAAAUAUAUUUAUAUAUUGCAUAAUAUCAUAAAAUACAGUGAAAUUGUUUUCAUUUAGGAACUAACUAAUAUAGUAAUUAAACUAAUACGGCCAAUAAACUAUGGCUUUUAAAAUUAUCUAUAAAUAUAACAUUUUUUAACAUAAUGUGGUUAAGUAUAUUUCUGGCUUGGCAAGUACCAGUCUUUUUAUAUAUAUAUACAAUAAACCCUGUGAUUGCAAUAAAAAUCCUUUAUGAGUUAAUAACUACAAUACUAGUUGGUAAUUACAUCCCUAAUGUAAGUCUAUUCAUUUAACACUAUAUCACAGAAAAGCAGAGACCAGAUGGACAAUGAAAAUAAAUGGACUUGACUGUUAACUACAUUUCAUGAAAAAUAUAUAAAUUACUUCUUUAAUGAAAAUCUGUUCUAAUCAAAGUUAAUACUGCUUAUAUUGGUAUGGACAAUGUUAAUGUCAUUGUAAUAAUAGGUAUGUCUAUAGACAAAAAAAUGUAUGGUUGAACCUUUAUAAUACGUAGAAAAAAAAUAUAUUAGACUCUAAUAUCCAACAUUUGAGUUAUCCAUAGCACAUCAUGUUUUUCCUUAUCUAUAUAUUGUAAUAUGUAUUGUCAAACUUGUAUGUUAAGGUUGGAGACAUACUUUAUAUUCAAUCUGUCUGAUUACGUAAUACAUGUAGUACUGAAAUAAUAAUUUAUUUCAUAAAAAACUGAGACAGAAUUAACAGUACACAUCAUAUGUUUACAGAAGUACUUGCAGAACAAAAUUCUUGCAAAUUAAUGUAUUAACCUCAGUCCUUUGCCUCUUUCUGUAAAGGUCAAGUAAGAAUCUUAUACACAGCUUUUAUCACUUUAAUUAUAACUUAAUGAAUCUAUCAUCUUUCACAGAUUUUAUUCAACUUGGGUCUAGUAAGUAAAAUACAUGUAAGUAAAUUAUUUAUUAUAGUGACAUGUGUAAAUUAUGUACAGAUUAUAAACAUAUAAUAUAUGAUAAAUAUUAAUACACCCGGCCCAAUGGACCUAUAAGUCACCUCAAUGUAUUCUGUUCAUAUAUGUAUUAAAAAUUCGAUACAUCAGCAGGGAUCUCCAUGGAUGAAAAUUGAACAAUGGAGGAACUUUCACCAUCAUAAACCGUAUCUAUGCCGUACAGUGUAGCGCGAUCGAAAGUAUUUCAUCCCUCCACAUAAGGAUAGGUGAACAUGCUAAUUCAUUGCUUAUUUAAAUUAUAUUUAUUUGAAUUUUCAUUAUAAAUUCUAUAUAGAAGUAUAUAUAUUUUCAAUAAUUGCCGUUUGUAACCCUUCAAAGGACAAGCCCUCAUGCCCCCUCCCUUUCCUUAGUCGAGAAUGCACAAUAGCUUCACGAAGGUCCAUGUAGUUUAUUUGCUAUUUUUGGUAAUUGUUAUGGAUGUUAAAAAUUAUGUGGAGCUUAUUUUUCACGGACACUGUCAAAUUCAGAAGUCAUGAACCCAUUACCGGUAUGGCUGAUUUGCAGCAACAACAAAACGAGGUACGGGUUAUGUAAAAGGUUAAAAAGAUUGUAAAAGCAAACGUUGUCAAAUGAAAAGGUUUUAAUGACUUUAUCUAGCAAUCGAUGCUAUGCAACAUGCAUCUUUCGAGUCUGAAU
rnacentral:lncRNA from 1 species